GGGGUUGUAGUCCAGAGGUAGAGCACUUGCCUUGCAAGCAUGAGGCACUGGGUUCGAGCCUCAGCACCG
rnacentral:tRNA from 1 species